rnacentral:lncRNA from 1 species
AUCUUCUGAGAUGGCCCCUCUGGAGCUCUUGGGGAUGAGUCUCCUGGUACAGAGAGAUCUGCUGAUGACAGCCUCAUGUAUACAGAUGACAGAAUCAGGGCCAACAAAGACACUUUCUCCAGAAGUGAUGGAGGAGAGCUAAAAUGAAAUGCUGGAAUGUGGUCAUCUACAGGCAUGACAUUGGGUUCUCAUAUCAACUGGAGCAUGAUAUCAUGGUGGAACUGAAUAACAAUGGUGCUGCUGGAAAUCUUUAAGGCUAUAAGUCACCACAUGAAAGUACCGAUCCAUAGUUAAUUUUACAGCAAAAUAGGUAGGGUCAGUGCUAUCAUAUGUGUACAUCUUCUAUUUAAAUACUUUACAACAUACAUGUAAGUUAUCUGGAAUUACUUUCCCAGAUAUGCUACCUUAGAAUCAUAGAAUUGCUAAGGUUGGAAAAGACCCACAGGAUCAUCCAGUCCAACCAUUCGCCCUCCAUCAAUGGUUCUCACUAAACCAUGUCCCUCAACACAACAUCCAAAUGCUCUUUGAACACCACCAGGCUCGGUGACUCCACCACCUCUCUGGGCAGCCCAUUCCAGUGCCUGACCACCCUUUCAGAGAAGUAGUAUUUCCUAACGUCCAGCCUGAACCUUCCCAGGCACAUCUUGAAGCCAUUCCCUCUAGUCCUACCUUUCUGAGUUUCAAACAUAUAACCUGCAGUCAAUCUGGCAAGUAACUUAGAAGCCACAAUAUGCAAUGUAGAUAUACCUACAUAUAUGAUAAAAGGAUAAUAAUGAUGAUACUCAGCCUUCUCUUUUCUUAAUACAUGAACCAGAAAUAAAUAUUUGCCUUCUAUUUUUCUUUUCCUGAAGUGAGACCUGGAGUAAUUUCCUUUAAAUAGCAGAGUUGAGAAUGGUGUAAAAUGUGUUGCUUUAUGUACGUCUACAAAGAUCGUUAAACUGGCAUCACCACAUUCACAUGAGCAAAAACUGCUUGUGGAAAAAGGAAACAUAGACAUGAAUGCAGCCAGCCAUAUCAUAACCCAUAUUUUAUGAUGUGUUUGUGUCUAAGAAGUGAUCUGCCUCAAAUUUCAUGUUUUUCCACCAAUUUGAGUAAAAAUGAUACUACCUUUCC